rnacentral:rRNA from 1 species
GCUUACGGCCAUACCAACCUGGCUAUGCCCGAUCUCGUCUGAUCUCGGAGGCUAAGCAGGUUUGGGCCUGUUUAGCACUUGGAUGGGAGACCGCCUGGGAAUACCAGGUGCUGUAAGCU